ACUCAUCCCUAUCCUUUCAUCGAAACGCAAUCCCCUUUUCUUCUCCAUGGCUUUCUCUCGUACUACUCCUCGCCAUGGCCUUGCUUUUUUUCUCUGCUGCCGCCGUGAGGGAAAACCAUCUGCGGUGGCUGGGGCGCCAGGGUGUAGACGGCCAGCCACGCGCUGCAAGCGCCUGAGCCGGGGGCGUAGGAUGCUCCGCCGGUGGGCGGCGGAGCUGCAGUUCAACGGGCGUGCUGCUGCACGGCGACGUCGGAGUUCCAGUGCAACACACAUGUGGUGGGCGGAGGAGCUGCAGUGCAACAGCCAUGUGCCGGCGGCGGAGCAGUGCAACGGCCAUGGUGUUGCGCACCGUCGGCGGAGCUACAGUGCAACACGGUGGUGAGUGAUGUAGCUCCAGUGCAACGGGGCGUGGUGUUCUGCGCUAGCGGCGGAGCUGCAAUGCAACACGCCGAUGUUGCUAUGGAGUGUCGUCGGGGGCCGCCGGUGUUGCUAUGGAGCUUCGCCAGGCCGCCAGUGUUGUAUUGGAGCAUCACUGACGUUGCUAUGGACCGUCAUCGAGGCCGCCGGUGUUGCUAUGGAGCAUUGUCGGGGGUCGCCGGUGUUGCUAUGGAGCGUCUUCGGGUCCGCCGGUGUUGCUAUGGAGCGCCGUCGGUGUGCUGUAUUGCCGCAUCGCCGGGCAACCGGUGCUGUAUUGAAGCAUCGUUGGGACCACGUUGUGUUGCAUAUGGGUUAUGACGGCUGGGCUGUUGCCGGAGCUGAAGUUGUCCGCCGGGGAACAGAGGAACCCUCGCCGGAGUUCCAAGCCAUGGCGGAGUAGGCCAUGUCUCUGGCGAUGUGGUGCGCCAUCGCGGGAGGUGGAGUAGGUGGAGGGGUGGAGGUGGAGAGAAGGGGCGGCGCCCGCGGGUCGUUGUAGUCUCCGGCGAGCUAAAAUCGCAGGGCAGGUGGAGAUGGAGGAAGCGCCGCGAUUUGCGGCCACAGAUGGGGAUCUGUUCGCGUGGGGGGCGUCCUGUUUCAUUGCAACGCAUCGACCGCUAUGGACGACGGGCUUUGCGAGAGGAAGCGUGCACGUGCAGAUCGGACGGACGCGGUGUUCUACAUGGGACGGCCGCGAAGGCGACUUAGGAAUCGGAUAGCAUCGCCCGACUUACGCCUAGCAUCGCCAAUCAUCCUCCGCUCAGCUUGGCCUCCCCGCCGCCCGCCGGUCAAGAACACCGGGAUGCCUAUGCCUGUGCUGCCACACGGAAGUACAUGAGCGUGGGGCGGCGUCCUCCUCUGCUGCCCAACGGACGCCGACGACCUCAUCUGGGAGCAGAUAAACCUGUAAGUUUCCUUUAACUUGCAGAUAUUGCGCUGAUUUGCCGCAUGGUGUGCUAGAACUACACUCCAGGGGAAUAUUUGUUCGGAAUCUCCAGUCUUGUAAUUUUCUCCUUGAUGACAAUGACCAUGCCGUGCUGGGGAUUUGGGUUACAUCCUUGCUGUUUGGACUUUCGCUGCCAAAUCCAGAUCUUAUCCAAAGACUUGGGACUCCAAAUUACAUGCCCCAGAACAUUGGCGACCAAACAUCAGAGGCCCAAUUAGUUACGAGACAUACUCAUUGGGGUUUCGCCUGCAGCAUUCUUGAGAUGUUCAGUGGCAUUCAGCCUUGGCGUGCCAAAUCAUCAGAUGAGAUUUAUCAAUCGGCUGUCGUGAAGAAAGAGAAACAGAUAUUCCCGUACAAUUUACAUACGGAGGUCGAGAAUGUCCUCUCUGGCUGCUUUGAGUAUGACUUUCGGGAUCGCUCCUUGAUGUCAUAUAUUUUACAAUCAUUUGAAAGUGCUCAAGAUGUGGAUUGUAACAACACUGGCUGGGAUAGUUAUGAAAAUCCAAGGCCAACUCAACCAAGUCGCACUAAUUGGUCACACUUUAAGGAUAUGUUGUAAAUCGGUGACAUGGUCCGCUCGAGAAAGCUUAAAAGCUCUUGUACUCCUGAAACAAUGGAAAUCCCUUAUGUAACCAUGGUUGGCUUGGAGGAGGAAGAACGUGCUAGCUACAUUCUUGUACAACUCCAUGGGUUACAAGACCCUGUGAAGGUCCCCUCCUCGUCCUGGAGACUGGGUAAGGCUUAGGGAGGAAGACAAGAAGCGGUCCCAGGUUGGAAUUCUUCAUAGCAUCGACCGCAAUGGCACUAUGUGUGCUGGUUUGAUAGCAAUGGAUACCCUCAGGAAGGGGGGAUAUUCUUCAUAGUUAUCAUAAAACAUCUUCAAUUUCUGCACAUAUACAAGUCGCAGGUGCUGGCAAUUUUAUAUUUUGCUAUGCAAAUGUACAAUUGGCUUUCAUAGAAUAAAAUGAGAUUUGAGAGGUAAGCAUCUGAACAAAACAAUUGCACCGUAAGGCAGUUUAUACUUGCUACACUUAAAGAGAAGACUACACUACAUGCUAUAUUACUAAAUUGCUAAAUAAUUGCUGAUUUAAUUAAAUGAGAAUAUGUUUCCUGCUAUUACUCUAUGCAGCAACUUAACCACAGUGGUGUCUCACUUUUGAAAAUACAAUUUUGAGCGACAUCAAACAUCUUUAUCCAUUUGAUUUUUUUUGCAAUAUUUAGUUUUAUUCUAUAGUACGUGAAUCUCACCUGGUUUACAUUUGAGACGUGCGUACAACCAUCGAUGCUAAUAUCGGUUGAUUUCUGUGGCCAAUUAUGUGCAUGCAAUACUUUGAGAUCUAAAUGUCGCCGGAAAAGAUAAAAGUUGUACAUGUACGUCUACUCAGAUUUUUGGACUUUUGUGUGCAUCGGGAAUGCAUAAUUAAGCUAUGCAUUGCCUAUCAUCUCCUAAACUCUAUUACAGGAAGCAUGGUUUCAUUUUAGGGCGAUGCUAGGUGUCAACCGACUGAUUUCCUGGGGAAAUAAGUCGGGUCGCCAGCCGUUCGAUGCAUCCUCCUAGAGCCGGGUCAACGGAAGCAACGACCGUAUCGCCGUAGGGACGCAGGGCCGCAUGCUGGCAGUAGGAGCCGCGCCCCCCUCGCCGGCAGCGCAACGACGCUUUGCCGACGGCGCCGGCGAUGCUACACUGCAGCUCCUACCCCGCUGCAUCGCAGCUCAGGGGCUCCGGUGAAGCUCCAAUGCAGCCGCCGGUGAAGCUACAAUGCAGCACCGCCCGUUGUAGUGCAGUUCCGGGCUCGCCGGUGAAGCUCCAUUGCAGCGCCGACGAUGCUUCACUGCAGCACCGACGCCGGCGCGGCGGCGGUCCAUCGAUGCUCCAUAGCAGCACUCAACGCCGUCGGUGAUGUUUCACUGCAGCCCGCACCGACGCGGCGAGCUUCAUAGCAGCACCCGACGGCCCCGCCGGCGGAGCUUCACUGCAGCGCCCCACCGCUUGCUGGAGCUCCGCUGUAGCACCGACUACCCUCGCCGAAGCUCCAUGGCAGCACCCAAGGGCCUCCGGUGAAGCUUCACUACAGAGCCCCCUCCGGCUUGGCGGUGCUCCAUCGCAGCACGACGGCAAUGCGGUUGAUGCGACGAAGCACGCGGCGGCGACGGGCGGAUGCUAUGACGCAGCACGAUGCCGACGGGAAAUGGGGUGACGCAGCACGCGGUGGUGACGACGGAUGCGACGCCGAGGGCGGAUGCUUCGUCGUCCAUCCCCCCUCCCCCCCACCCCCAUGCCCCGCCCAGGUGGGAGCUUCUCCAUGGUUGAUGUGGAUUUAGCCGGCGUCGGCUCAUCCUUGCAGCAGCAGGUGGAGGAGAAAAAAGGAAGGAAGAAGAUGAGGAGGGGGACGAGUGAAGGAGGAGGAGCCGGAAGGGAUAAGGUGGGAGGAAAAAGCGAUGGACUGGGGGGGGCACGUGGCGUGCGUACGAGGCGGCUUACCGAGACAGAAAAAUCAUCCGGUUUAAACUAAACGUUUCCCUUCAUUUUAUCCCAUAUAUCAGUACAUAAGUAUGUUUAGCUUAUAUAUAAUUGGUGAUUUGUCCAUGGAAAUUGAUGACUUUUAUCUUCUGCAUCUGUUUUGAUCUUUUUAAGCACAUCCUUAAAUUGGUGAUUUUUUCUGUUAAUGUCGAACCAAUUUUAGCAAAUGAUUUUCUUUGUUACGAUAAUUCUGAGUGCAUUUUGUCAGUUUGAUAUUGGAGAACUAAAAACUAACUCUAGUGCUUUGAUGAAUUUUGUGUUUCCUCAAUAGUGUCUUGAAUCUAAAAUCAUAAAAGUAUUACAUGCACAUACUUAUAUGAAUCAAGCCUUACAUGAUUCGCUCUUUUACUGAUGGGCUGAGGAGGUCAGAGAUGUACAAUAGCCGUAUUGAUCCAAAUGACAAGUACGGCAGUGCUAACCUGCUUGCCUAGAAUUUUACCACAUCCUAAGACUUGCAAAUCUGUACAAUAGGAAUGGCUAGUUGUUUUCUGGUCUACAACCGUGACAUGUAGUGGCAUCUCUCACCAUGUCUGCACAUAGUGUUUAGGUAUGAUUGUUGCAUACUGUCGACAAGGGCGCGACGUUUUUUCUGAACUGAAUUUUUUUUUGCUUACUGGUUGAGCUCGGUUUCAACUCUUACUUGAGUAGUUGAUCGGCAAGCCUGAUGCAGGUGUAUGAAAAUUAUGCAGUUCCAUUAGCUCUGGAGUUGUCCAGUAUACUACUGAGGCCUACAUAUUUUGCUGAUGCAGGUUGGAGGUGAACAUGAACUCUGGCAAUCCAAAAUAGCAGAUAUAAAAUAACUGCAGCUCAGGCCAUGUAGUUCUACAACAAUCAAGGAAGAAGUCCGGUUUUUUAAGCCGACCUCGGCCAAACAAUUUAAGCUUACAUGGGUGCUCUCUAUUUUUCAGAGGUGCGUGUACGGAGAGCGCCCAUGAUUCAGGGCAAAAAAUCUAGACAAAGUGAAAAAACUUUUGUACGAGUGGUGAUAGCCUGUUUAAGGAUGUUGACUGUGGCUACACAACUUCAACAACGUGCUUGCAACUCAUGAGUGGCAAAGUAUAACAUGCCGCCUUUUUCUUUAAACAAGCCCCUUCAAAUUAUGUAUGCAAUAUGCUGGGAAGAACUCAUGACAAAGCCUUAUUUGUAUGCACGUCUUAAUGUAUUUUCAUACUGGCUCAAGUAAUGUACUCUUUGUUAGGAUUUAAUUAAUCCUAUUAAUCCCUGCUUUUCUAACCGAGGCGGUUGCCUCACAUCCCUUCGGUCGCACCCCUUCAGGGGCUAUAUAUAUGUGUAAUCCCAUCAUCAAUGAGAAGGAAAGUUUACUUUUA